CCCCUCUCGUGGUCGCACCUGGAGAGUUUCCAGGGGUCUACUAGUCUCGGCUACGGGAGGGAGAGUCAAGCAGAGGCAGACCCAUUCCAUUCCUGGCUUGUGCAGUGGCUAGCGAGUGGAAGGCCAUCUGCUACAAGU